GCCAGGCGCGGUGGCGCGUGCUUGUAGUCCCAGCUACUCCGGAGGCUGAGGUGGGAGGAUCCUUGAGCACAGGAGUUCUGGGCUGUAGUGCACUAUGCCGAUUGGGUGUCCACGCUAAGUUUGGCAUCAAUAUGGUGACCUCCUGGGAGUGGGGGACCACCAGGUUGCCUAAGGAGGGGUGAACCGGACCAAGUCAGAAACGGAGCAGGUCAAAACUCCCGUGCUGAUCAGCAGUGGGAUCAUGCCUGUGAAUAGCCACUGCACUCCAGCCUGGGCAACAUAGCGAGACCCCGUCUCU
rnacentral:SRP_RNA from 1 species